ensembl:lncRNA
CGCGUGCAUGCCAGUGUUAUUAGUGCGCUGAGCGUCAGGAGCAGGAAGUGUCGCUGCUGCUGCCUUUGUGUUCACAGCGGAGUGAAAUUGUGUGUCUGUGGGAGUGGACCUGGACCGGACCGGGACUUGGAGCUAGACUGGACCGGACACAGCACACACAGCUCUGAUUCUGCAGCUUUUUGUCCUCCUCCUCAUGUCCACACUGCUGUUUCUCCUCGCCUCAGGCUGCUCUGCUGUGAGAUGGAUGGCAUCGCGACUGUCCUGAAAGACACUCCCUCCUUCUCCACUGUGAUCACGUACGAGUUCGGUGGAGAAGGUGGAUUUGAGAAGGCAUGAUGGAGGAGGAAGGAGCACAACGCUCUGUAACCUCUUCACAAACCCCAACAAUGAAGCUGCCACUUCAGUCAUUUCCUCAUCGGCUUUAAAAACCCGAAACACAGCAGUGGUGUCGCGUGAAGCGGGCUCGGCGUGAAGCGGGCUCGGCGUGAAGCGGGCUCGGCGUGAAGCGGGCUCGCUGUGAUGAGACUCGUGAAGCUGACUCGCUGUGAUGAGACUCGUGAUGCUGACUCGCUGUGAUGAGACUCGUGAAGCUGACUCGCUGUGAUGAGACUCGUGAAGCUGACUCGCUGUGAUGAGACUCGUGAUGCUGACUCGCUGUGAUGAGACUCGUGAAGCUGACUCGCUGUGAUGUAGACUCGUGAAGCGGACUCGGCGUGAAGCUGACUCGGUCAGGAUUCUGUGAGUUUGCUUGUGAACAAGCAGCCGCUCGAGCUCCAUCUGUUUCAGUUUAUGCGACGACUCUCCCUGUGUUUCCUCCUCACGCUGAACAGCAUUCAUCCUGAAGGAAAAACUCCAUCCUCAGAGUUUCAGUCUGAUCCUGAAGAGAGGCGUGUGUGUGUGUGUGUGUGUGUGUGUGUGUGUGUGUGUGUGUGUGUGUGUGUGGUGUCAGUGUUGCUUUGCUGGAAAUUACAGAGGCUGGAUUUUGAGACCCCACCAAACACUCACACACCCUCCAUUUUACACACUCUCUCUUUC